rnacentral:misc_RNA from 1 species
GAAAUGCGAUACGUCAUGCGAAUUGCAAAACCAGUGAGUCAUCAAAACUUUGAACGCAACUUGCACUUCCCUUUGGGGAGUAUGUCUGUUGGAGUGCUUGUUCAUCCCCACCAUAACCCCCAUUCCCUAACAAGGCGACUGCGGUGUGUUGUGAAGUCAGUCUCUUGGAUGCCUUAACCCGGCGACCAAGUGCACUCAGAUGAAACAAAAAUCAAAUAUCCGAUCCCAAAGUCAGUAUCCCCACCCGGGGAUAUAAGACCGAAAGGACGCGACGUCAUAGUGUAAAAACUAACAACUCGUGUCUGGAGUAAGUCCUAAUGUGCGAGUAAGUUCUGGAUCUUUUCGAUCGAGCCUCCAAUCAGUCAAGAAUACCCGCUGAAUUUAA